UACGUAGGGUGCAAGCGUUAAUCGGAAUUACUGGGCGUAAAGCGUGCGCAGGCGGUUCGCUAAGACAGAUGUGAAAUCCCCGGGCUUAACCUGGGAACUGCAUUUGUGACUGGCGGGCUAGAGUAUGGCAGAGGGGGUAGAAUUCCACGUGUAGCAGUGAAAUGCGUAGAGAUGUGGAGGAAUACCGAUGGCGAAGGCAGCCCCUGGGCCAAUACUGACGCUCAUGCACGAAAGCGUGGGGAGCAAACAGG
rnacentral:rRNA from 1 species